rnacentral:rRNA from 1 species
AGAUUGAACGCUGGCGGCAGGCCUAACACAUGCAAGUCGAGCGGUAGAGAGGUGCUUGCAUCUCUUGAGAGCGGCGGACGGGUGAGUAAUGCCUAGGAAUCUGCCUAGGUGGUGGGGGAUAACGUUCGGAAACGGACGCUAAUACCGCAUACGUCCUACGGGAGAAAGCGGGGGACCUUCGGGCCUCGCGCCAUUAGAUGAGCCUAGGUCGGAUUAGCUAGUUGGUGAGGUAAUGGCUCACCAAGGCGACGAUCCGUAACUGGUCUGAGAGGAUGAUCAGUCACACUGGAACUGAGACACGGUCCAGACUCCUACGGGAGGCAGCAGUGGGGAAUAUUGGACAAUGGGCGAAAGCCUGAUCCAGCCAUGCCGCGUGUGCGAAGAAGGUCUUCGGAUUGUAAAGCACUUUAAGUGGAGAAGGGUUGUAACCUAAUACGUUGACAACUUUGACGUUACGACAGAAUAAGCACGGACUAACUCGUAGCCAGCAGCCGUA